UGAGCUUCCUGCCUGCUUCCCUCAUCUCUGCAGCCUGUUAGAGCCUGCCACGACCGCGUGGGCAACCCCUAGCUGCAGUUUCUUUCCUCUUCUCUGCCCUCAGCACUUUCCCCUCCAGGAGCACAACUCUGAGCUGUCAUUCCUGUCAACCAGAUGGGAGAUCAGCCACAAAGCUGCUCCGCCUCUCGCAAGGACAGGAACUCUUGUGGCAGGCAGGCUUUCGGGGCGGCUCCAAGAGGGAGUGAGUGAGUCUGGGCCUCUUAGUCGCUGUGGUCAUGGUAAGGGAAAGUGACCUGUUUGUCACCAGGUUUCCCUUGGAAGUCCCCCACCCUCAGGCCUGGCUCCCCGCACUUCCCCUUUUGGUCCCUUCUGCUCUCACAGCUUCACUGCAGCCAGCGUGGAGCAGGAUGCUGACAGCAGAGUGGCUCCAGUGAGCUGCCAUUCCAGAUGUCAGGAACAAGCUCACAGACUGAGUGAAGCCGAGAAGGAUUGCAAACACCAGUGAGAAAGGGCUGGGAGACAACAGUGACGGAGAAGAGGAGCAGGCUUUCAGGCGAUAAGGUGGCUGUGAACUGCUUUGAAAUGAGGACAGGCCUCCUGGGAGGAGGGAAGAAUGCACCGAAGCAUGCACUGAUGAAAGUUUCUAUCCAAAGACCCAGAGCCACACUGCUCUUCAUGGAAUGGGGCUGUAUCCUGGCUCAACAACCACAGCAUUUUCACACUUAACAAAAGAAAAGGUCUGUCAAAAUCCAGUAUGCCACCAACUGGGGAAUAUAAACCCCCUUUCUACUUUUUUUAAGUUUACAACAAAUUCAUAAAGCAAAGAGGCUUUUUUAUUUCAUGUUUGUCAAUAAACCUGGCAAUAGAAAUACCAAUUUGAACAGCAAUUUUCCUGCUGGUCUGAGCUGAAAUUAGCUAUGGAUGAAUUGGUUUUCAGUUUUUACAUGUAAAUAAUCUCCACACCCCCUGCUCCUAUAGACAGUUGUAAGACAUUACCCUGUUUCAUGGCCAUGUCUCUGCCCAAAUCUUUGGUUCUUGAAGGUGACACCCAUUUUUGCUGCAAUGACUCUGACCAAUUCUGGUCUAAAGCCUGGGCACAAAGGGCAUAUUGCUGCAACCACAUGGCCAGCAGGGAGGCGGAGGUGGCAGCCUGUCCAGACAGGGUGGAGAAAGGCUUGGAAUAUGGAUGUCCUGAGGACCAAUGGAGGCUUGCCCCAUUGACCUUCAUCACUGUGCCCCGCUGACCUUCAUCACUGUGCCCCGUGCCCCGCUGACCUUCAUCACUGUGCCUCACUGACCUUCAUCUCUCCCACUUCCAGAAUCACUGCUCAGAUUCCAGCCAAGCCCUGAGGGGGGUUCUGGAAAACUCUAUUUCAUUCUAGGGCUGAUGAUUUCCUAUAUUGG
rnacentral:lncRNA from 1 species